GGUAGGGGAUUGAGACUGGAAGUGUACCUUUAAGGCCUAAUCACUGGCGCUGAUCAUUUGGAUCAGGUGGCGUAAGUGACGCGUCCCUUUAAAUGUGUUGCAAGACAUGAACAGAAAAACAUUAAUGCGGUGUGAGUUGAAGAGUGAGCCUCUUGGUGUAUCGUCUGUGCAAACAGGAGAAUUUCGGCUUGGUGUCUGCGUGUAUGGUAACCAGUAAAUGGUGCCAGUAGUCAAGAGUCUACAGACUAUUGCAAAAUAGUGAGUAGUGAUUCUACAUGGGGUUUGAAGUAACGAGUAACAUCGAGGAGAGUGUCCAUUAAUCAUUCAUGCCGUUUAACUUUAUUGUUAAAGAGUAUAUAGUUCUUACUGAUUUGGGCUGGUGUCAAAAGAAAUGAGGAUUGCCUUCGUCGGCCACUAGCUACUGUUUUUCCUGGGUUUAAUAAUAGUGUUUCAUUUUGUAUUUUUUUCAUAUGUGUGUCUGUUUGGCAAUUGUCAUUAUUCAACCUUUGGCCAUGGGCAUUGUGCAAUAUUUCCUCUAGGGACCGUGUCCAUCUUGCAAUGUUUACUGGUGUGAAGUGUGAAAUGCUGUGUUAAUGUACGUAUGGCCAAUUUUGUUUGAAGUGUUUCUUGCAGUGUUGGAGUGUAUGUGAACCGUACCUAUAUAUCUGACUUUAUUCACUGUAGUUUAGGCAUUGUAGAUUUUUAUAUCUUGUAACUCAUUUAUUAUGAGAUCUUUUAUUCACUGUGAUUAAUCUAUUGUAGAAUUGUUCACUGUUACCUAUGGGAAACAUCUGUCUGCUCUGAUUGCCAAUCAUUGUAUUGUCUAGUGUUUAAUAAAAUUUAGUACAUCA